rnacentral:lncRNA from 10 species
UUUUUUUAAGACAAGGUCUCACUCUGUUUCCCAGGCUGGAGUGCAGUGAUAUGAUCAUAGCUCACUGCAGCUUUGACCUUCUGGACUCAAGAGAUCCUCCCACCUCAGCCUCCUGGGUAGCUGAGACUACAGCUGUGGGCCACCCUGAUACCCUCUUUAAGCUUCUCUGACUUGGGCCAAAUGUGUGUGUUUAGCUCUGUGAGGAAGAACUCCAGCAUUUUCAGGACACCCACACCAUCAAGGUCAGCGACAAGAACUGACAUGCGUCUCCCUCUGUCCUUUUGAGGUUCCAGCUCAUGCCUGUUGGUUCCAGCCUGCUAGUGAUCUCCCCACAGUUGUAUCCAUCUUUCCUUCCCAACUACCUGCAGGCGUCAGGCUCCAACAUCAGAGGUAAAAACAGCAGCCUUAAAAAAAAACUGAACCAACUCUCAUGAUUGUGUCGUCAGAUCUCUGCAAUAAAUCCCUUAAAUAUAUACACGGCUGUGUGUGUGAGAGAGAGAGAGAGAGAGAAAGAGAGAGAAAUUUAUAAAUGUAUAAGUACAUUUUGUAUGUAUCUAUACAUAUAUACAUAUUUUACAUGUAAAUUUUAUAUAUAAUAUGUGUAUAAUCUGCUAGUGGUU